rnacentral:rRNA from 1 species
UACGUAGGGGGCAAGCGUUGUCCGGAAUCAUUGGGCGUAAAGCGCGCGUAGGCGGUUCGGUCAGUCUGCUGUGAAAGUCAAAGGCUCAACCUUUGAAUGCCGGUGGAUACUGUCGAGCUAGAGUCCGGAAGAGGCGAGUGGAAUUCCUGGUGUAGCGGUGGAAUGCGCAGAUAUCAGGAGGAACACCAACGGCGAAGGCAGCUCGCUGGGACGGUACUGACGCUAAGGCGCGAAAGCGUGGGGAGCGAACAGG